AGACAGAAGAUGCAAGGUACGCAAACACAAACACAACACAUUAUCAGUGUGUAACAGGUUUAAUUUGGUGUGACGGGUUGAUGAUCGGUGGUACAGUGGUGCAGCAGGUAGCGUUGCUGUCUCACAGCUCCAGUGUCCAGAAUUCAGUCCUGAGCUUGGGUUCCUGUUUUGCAUAUCUGAGCUCACAAAAACAUGCUGGUAGGUGGAUGUGUGAUGUCCUGUAAUGGACUAAUGUAAAGCAUUUACUGGAAAUGAAUUCAUGACUGAUUCCAAAACUAAAGAUAUCUAAAACUAAAAAUAACAGCAUUUAUAACAUUUACUGAUUACUUGACUUCUGUUAUCAGGAGGUACAGCUUCUACUGGCAGGAGUUCUGUCCAAACCUCAGGAAAUCACCAAGGGGUUCCUCCUGAUGUCUGUGAGUAUGAGGACAUUAAAGACACCAGACGACUUCCUGCCUCAGACGUUGGAUCUUCUUCAGUUUACUCUACUGCUCAACUACCCACAAUUCUCUCUGAUCCUCAACCUGUUUAUUCAAACACAGAGUUACCCACAAGCCCCUGUGAUUCUAUUCUAUUCUAUUCUGCUGUUUAUUCUGCUGUUCAACGACCCACAAUCCCCUCUGAUCGGGACAUCUACUCCACAGCUCUACCCACACGUCUCUCGGCUGAGAAAUCUGAUGAAGGUCUGACUUACGCAGCAGUGAGUUUUCACUCCAGGGCCACCAGCUCUAAUGAUGCAGUUCCACAGAUUCUCUUUAAGAAGGAAGAGGUCUCGUGUGAUUAUGAUACAGUCAGUCAUGUUAAUUCAUGAGGCUAGUGUCUCAUCAUUAGGACUCCAACCAUGAGGCACUGGAACUCUACCGCUUUGUUUAGAUUCUUCUUCUUCUUUUCUUCUUCUUCUUCCUCUUCUUCUCCUCCACAGCUUGAGCCCAAAACAAUAUCUGAAGCAAAAUCCAGUAAUGUGCCUGAAAAGACGCACUGAAGAUAUCUGUAUCAGAUGUUAUAGGGGUGAGAUAGCACCACAAUUGGCUGAAAAUUCUUCUUUCUCAUCAUCAUUAGAAAGCCCAAAGCCAUAAGUACCUACUUCAGUUCUGAGCUAUUGUUCACGAUGUGUGAAUCUUAGGGCCCUUUUCCCCUAAAGUAUAGAUUCUACACAAUUUUAUCCCCAAUAAUCCAGUCAGUAUCUCAUUUUGGUGCUUGUACAAUGCUAACCAACUGACUGCAAGUGAGUCAAGUCAUGUAGUUUCAGUGUCAGCCAUGUGUCAGCUAUUCUGUGUGUGAAAGUCAUGUAGUGUGAACACCGCCAAAGUGUGGUAAGAGCAGUGAGAACAGGAACCUCUGACCAAGUAUGAUUUUACAAGCCCUUUUCUGCACGUCUUCCUGUUGUUCCUCUUCCUCAAGCUUCCUGUUGGCUGAGGUCAACAUGCGGUCCUCCUGACUGUCCCAUCUCAAGUUACCCUGGAUGAUAACCCCCAGGACUUUGACUAUGUCACAAACGUCCAAUAUGUUCUGAUCAGUGGAGAGGCUCGGCCUGGCUGGUCUAUGUCUCAUGCUGGUAACGUAAAACUUUACAUUUCUUUGAGUUGAGUUUCAUUUUAUGUUCCUCUACCCAGUUGUUAAGACCAUUCAGGGUCUGUCCAGAGGGUAUAGGGUAGUUGGGGUGUCCACAUCUGGGCCAAUGUCAUAUCAUCCACAUAUUUCCAGUAAUCUGUUCCAUCCAGGAGAGCACUGUUAAUCACCGUUAAGAACACUAUAAGCCCUAGUACGAAUCCCUGUGCAACUCCACAUGUUUGAUAUUCCCAAUCAGAGAGAUAUCCCUGAUGAUGCACUUUUUGGCGAUGGACAGUCGUGAAGCUGCAAAUUCAUGAGAUUAGGUCCGGUCUCACUGCACGAUCGAGGAGGCCUUGUACCGUCACUGUGUGAUCUACAGCAUCAAAUGCCUUGGCAAAAUCCGUCGUGAUAAAUGUGCGCACUGAGCCUGAAACAUCACAGGCCUUGUACACAUCAGUCCAUCAAACUAACUAGACUGUGUGUUGUGGAAUAUUUUGUUGUGUUACAUGGGAUCUAAAUUUGGUGUGAUGUCAUUCAGAAUCCAGUGUGCAGCAAACUGUUCACAAAUUUCAUGAGUGGUCCACUUACUUCAAUGGAUUUCCUUAGUUCAAGGAAACUAGAAAACUUGGGCUGUCAUGGUCCACAAGGGCAAUUCCACCUUGGGCCACUAGAGGGCACCCUGACUUCUUGUUCUAUUGUCGCACUGAUUUCCUGUCUCAGUCAUGCCCACCUGUUUGUUAUUUCUUGAUUAGUUGUUCUAUUUAAGCUCCUUGUGUUCUCACUUUGUUUGCUGGAGCAUUACGUUCAUGUUAUGUUAAGUUUUGUUAGUGCCAUUUGAUGUUUGUACUAGGCAUAGUCUUUUUUAUAGUUUAAGUAGUGCUUACUUUCUGGUUGUUUUGCAUUUGUAUCCGCUUCCAUGGACUCGUCUUCGUGACGUGGGCUGGCCGGAGUGGCCUAA